rnacentral:rRNA from 1 species
CAUGCAAGUCGAACGAAGCACUUUAUUUGAUUUCCUUCGGGACUGAUUAUUUUGUGACUGAGUGGCGGACGGGUGAGUAACGCGUGGGUAACCUGCCUUGUACAGGGGGGUAACAGUUGGAAACGGCUGCUAAUACCGCAUAAGCGCACAGCAUCGCAUGAUGCAGUGUGAAAAAUUCCGGUGGUAUAAGAUGGACCCGCGUUGGAUUAGCUAGUUGGUGAGGUAACGGCCCACCAAGGCGACGAUCCAUAGCCGACCUGAGAGGGUGACCGGCCACAUUGGGACUGAGACACGGCCCAAACUCCUACGGGAGGCAGCAGUGGGGAAUAUUGCACAAUGGGCGAAAGCCUGAUGCAGCGACGCCGCGUGAGCGAAGAAGUAUUUCGGUAUGUAAAGCUCUAUCAGCAGGGAAGAUAAUGACGGUACCUGACUAAGAAGCACCGGCUAAAUACGUGCCAGCAGCCGCGGUAAUACGUAUGGUGCAAGCGUUAUCCGGAUUUACUGGGUGUAAAGGGAGCGCAGGCGGUGCGGCAAGUCUGAUGUGAAAGCCCGGGGCUCAACCCC